rnacentral:rRNA from 1 species
UACGUAGGGUGCGAGCGUUAAUCGGAAUUACUGGGCGUAAAGCGUGCGCAGGCGGUCUGUUAAGACCGAUGUGAAAUCCCCGGGCUUAACCUGGGAACUGCAUUGGUGACUGGCAGGCUUUGAGUGUGGCAGAGGGAGGUAGAAUUCCACGUGUAGCAGUGAAAUGCGUAGAGAUGUGGAGGAAUACCGAUGGCGGAAGGCAGCCUCCUGGGCCAACACUGGACGCUCGAUACACGAA